rnacentral:rRNA from 1 species
GAUGAACGCUGGCGGCGUGCCUAAUACAUGCAAGUCGAGCGAACGGACGAGAAGCUUGCUUUUCUGAUGUUAGCGGCGGACGGGUGAGUAACACGUGGAUAACCUACCUAUAAGACUGGGAUAACUUCGGGAAACCGGAGCUAAUCCCGGAUAAUAUUUUGAACCGCAUGGUUCAAAAGUGAAAGACGGUCUUGCUGUCACUUAUGGAUGGAUCCGCGCUGCAUUAGCUAGUUGGUAAGGUAACGGCUUACCAAGGCAACGAUGCAUAGCCGACCUGAGAGGGUGAUCGGCCACACUGGAGCGGGGACAGGGUCAAGGCUCCUGCGGGAGGCAGCAGAAGGGAAUCUUCGGCAAUGGGGGAAAGCCGGACGGAGCAACGCGGCGGGGGGGAUGAAGGUGUUGGGUGGGUAAACCCCGGUUAUUGGGGAAGAACAUAUGUGGAAGUAACUGUGCACAUCUUGACGGUACCUAAUGAGAAAGCCACGGCUAACUACGUG